CCUACGGGCGGCUGCAGUGGGGAAUAUUGGACAAUGGGGGGAACCCUGAUCCAGCCAUGCCGCGUGUGUGAAGAAGGCCCUCGGGUUGUAAAGCACUUUCAGUGAGGAAGAACGCCUGGUGGUUAAUACCCAUCAGGAAAGACAUCACUCACAGAAGAAGCACCGGCUAACUCCGUGCCAGCAGCCGCGGUAAUACGGAGGGUGCGAGCGUUAAUCGGAAUUACUGGGCGUAAAGCGCGCGUAGGUGGCUUGAUAAGCCGGUUGUGAAAGCCCCGGGCUCAACCUGGGAACGGCAUCCGGAACUGUCAAGCUAGAGUGCAGGAGAGGAAGGUAGAAUUCCCGGUGUAGCGGUGAAAUGCGUAGAGAUCGGGAGGAAUACCAGUGGCGAAGGCGGCCUUCUGGACUGACACUGACACUGAGGUGCGAAAGCGUGGGUAGCAAACAGGAUUAGAUACCUUGUAGUC
rnacentral:rRNA from 1 species